rnacentral:rRNA from 1 species
UCCAGUAUCCAUAUCACCAAGACUGGUUGCUCAUAGAAGCUAAGCAGGGCUGAGCCUGGUCAGUACCUAGAUGGGAGACCACAUGGGAAAACUAGGUUGCUGUUGGAA